UACGAAGGGGGCUAGCGUUGCUCGGAAUUACUGGGCGUAAAGCGCACGUAGGCGGCUCUUUAAGUCGGGGGUGAAAUCCUGGAGCUUAACUCCAGAACUGCCUUCGAUACUGGAGAGCUCGAGUCCGGGAGAGGUGAGUGGAACUGCGAGUGUAGAGGUGAAAUUCGUAGAUAUUCGCAAGAACACCAGUGGCGAAGGCGGCUCACUGGCCCGGUACUGACGCUGAGGUGCGAAAGCUCGGGGAGCGAACGGG
rnacentral:rRNA from 1 species